rnacentral:rRNA from 1 species
UGAGCGACCUACCUAAUUGUGGGGGAUAGCCGGCCCAACGGCCGGGUAAUACCGCAUACGAUCGGAGAGGGGCAUCCCUUUCUGAGGAAAGCCUUCGGGCGCAAUUUGAGGGCUUGCGGCCUAUCAGCUAGUUGGUGUGGGUAAUGGCCCACCAAGGCGACGACGGGUAGCCGGCCUGAGAGGAUGACCAGCCACACUGGGACUGAGACACGGCCCAGACUCCUACGGGAGGCAG